rnacentral:rRNA from 1 species
UACGUAGGGUGCGAGCGUUAAUCGGAAUUACUGGGCGUAAAGCGUGCGCAGGCGGUUUUUGUAAGACAGAUGUGAAAUCCCCGGGCUCAACCUGGGAACUGCAUUUGUGACUGCACGGCUGGAGUGCGGCAGAGGGGGGAUGGAAUUCCGCGUGUAGCAGUGAAAUGCGUAGAUAUGCGGAGGAACACCGAUGGCGAAGGCAGCUCGCUGGGACGGUACUGACGCUGAGGCGCGAAAGCGUGGGGAGCAAACAGG